UUUGUCAACCCCCUCUGUGCACGUUUGGCUUUAGAUCGAGCGGCGGCGCUCCCUAUCCGAUCGGGACAUGUAGGACGACGGCGGCAGGGCUCCGAAAAGUGGGGAACGGCGGGGAGGCGGGGAACGGCGGGGAGGCGGGGAACGGCGAACGCGGCGAGGCGGAUCAGGUCAGGAUCCAGCGCGGCGUCCGGCGCUUCAUGGCCGUGGCGCCUCGGUCUCCUGGGAAGAAGAGACGUGGGAGAGAGAGGAGGUGAGAUGGGGAGAAGAGAAGGCAGAGUAAGGACAGCGCGGAUUCCGGCGAUGGCUCUGGUCGGCGGAUCCAGGCCAACUCUUGAUGGACUUCCGAAGUGCUGCUGGCCUCCGAAUUUUUUCUGUCGUGUAGCCGCUCCCCAUCUCAGUGUGUGCUAUCCGCGGAAGCCGGCUCCUCCACUCAGGCCCUCCUCUGCAACGCCGACGAGGACGCUACUUCGUCUGAACUGAUCUUCACGACCACGUGCAGAUGGAAUUUUUUUCAUAUGACAUCAGGGAUGUAGGAUGAUUGGGUGAACAAGCUUCUUGUGAAACAUCCAUAUCCCGGGGGCGGUGCCUCCGUUCAGCAUCCCACGCGGCGACGUCCUCCGGCAUAAUGGCAAACACUGGCAGGGGAGAAAGCAGAGCGGGAGGGGUAUUGGGUCCAUACCACUGUGGGCAUUGUCAGUGCCAUGAUUGUGGCUAAUACCCACAGGAGAUUCUAUUUCUGUGAGCGGAUUAAACAGAGUUGAGUAAACAUCAUCCAUAGGAGAUACAUGUGCUAAUUAAGUUUAGAGGAGAAAGUGGUUCUUUAUUCUUGUAAUUUUGGUGCAGAUGUCAUACAGGGGCAGAGAACAAUGGUCUUUUGGGAAUGCCUGUUAACUUUUUGGAGCUGCCAGGUAAAUUUUGGUACGAAUUUAUGUUAGUUCUACUUUUCCAUGAUGUUUAAUUGCUCGGUUCUUAAGGGCUUGUAAGAGGAGAUGGAUUUUGGACUACUCUAUUUUGGAUGCCAGUAAAGCGGAUCUGCAGAUGAAAAAUAAAAGGGUGUGCAUGGUGUUUUUUUCUUACAGAAUACUUUUAUAUGCCCUGUUCUAUUUUGCUUCAGGUUUAGGACUAUUUGGUCUGCUACAUAAUCCAUGUUUAUAACUGCAAAAGCUUAUUUUUAUUAUUAUCAUAUUUACUAUUUGUCAGUAGUAAUACAUAACACGUCGCUGGUGAAAAGCCUACUGGAAAGAUUAAUUACUCAAUAAUGUUGUCUUAAGAAUCAAUUUUUUUGAAAAGUUCUAUGUUAACCACUGUUGCCAUCUGUUCCUAUUUGUUGUUUUUUCCUAUGGCAGUUUGGAGCAAGUGAUUGGCCUAUAAUCUAAUUAAUAUUCAGGCUUGCUGAGAAUUUUUUACUAUGAGAUAAGUAGAUGAUCAUUUAACCCACAGCGAAGAUAAAGUAGAUUAUGGUGACCGAACUGAGCACACGCUGACUUAGUGCUUCGACCCUUCAUGUUUAUUAUUCACUAAUUCUGGUCCUUCCAUUACUAUUGAACUAAAUUCAAAGUUGUUGCUAUGUCAAUUCGGUUGCCUGCUUGCCAUAGUUUAUCUCCCUGUUGAUUAGCUAAUUGGCAUGAGAAAGAAACAUAUGCAUCUACAUGUAUCUUAUCUCUCUGAAGUCAUAAAAUUGUAGUGAGAUGCAGUGCCCACGAAAUUGGCAUGUUUAAAUAUAAAAUUAUUUCCUUUAAUGAUGGAUGAGACCUUUUAGCUUAGAUGACAUGUUUUUUGAAUCAUAUAUAUAUCAUAGCUUUGUGAAACGGACUUACAAUGCUUUAUGUUUUUAGUCCUAGAGUUAUACAUGAGCGUUCAUUUUGCAUCCAGCGAUGAAUAUCAUUGUUAGAUCAAAGGACACUUUCGGAACAUAGGCGUUUUUCAGAAAAGCAAAAAGAAAAUGACAGACAAUCUAUUCCAAUAAAAAACUACUCUUCCAUAAAAACAGAUGAAGAACGCUAAGGUGCCUUCUUCACGUCUGAACUUCAUGCUACAUAAAGAACUAAUCAGUUUAACCUUAUUAUCGAUGUAUAUUAAAAUUAGAUACAAAAAAUGGUGCAUAAGGGGAUAUAAAGCAGGUUGUGCCCUUUUUUGCCCGGUGCAACGCACAGACAUUCGUACUAGUAAUAAUAAAGCACAGAUUGACUUCAUGGGUUCACCGUCACAAUACGCUUCUUUCCAUGAAUUCACGCUUUCACUUUUUUUUAACACGUCUAUAUUUAUUUUCUAUAUCCAAAGGUGGUACUAAUCUAUCUAUCUAUGACAUAGGUGAUUGUUUGUACGAGCAGCGCGUUUCCUUCCCGAUCGAUUGCUUGUAUGAGCAGCUCCGUGCUGUUGUGGGCCUUUUCUCUUAUGGGCCGAGAGCGAGGCCGUGUUGCUAUGAGAUUUUGUUUACCUGUAAAAAGAGAGAGCACACGUGGAUAUUAGGCAUGAAAUAGUCCCACCUUGCUCCCCCA